rnacentral:sRNA from 2 species
AAAACCAUUCAAAGACACUUGGAAUUUGGAAGUUUGGUGAAAAUCCAACGCGGUCCCGCCACUGUGAUGACGUCAUGUGCGUCUUAGUCAGGUCUUUAUUCCAAGCUGCUAUUUAUUGCAAACGAACCGUUUCGAGGUAAAACGGACCCGUUACUU